rnacentral:rRNA from 1 species
UCCUACGGGCGGCUGCAGUGGGGGAUAUUGCACAAUGGAGGAAACUCUGAUGCAGCGACGCCGCGUGAGGGAAGAAGGUUUUCGGAUUGUAAACCUCUGUCUUCGGGGACGAAACAAAUGACGGUACUCGAGGAGGAAGCCACGGCUAACUACGUGCCAGCAGCCGCGGUAAUCCGUAGGUGGCAAGCGUUGUCCGGAAUUACUGGGUGUAAAGGGAGCGCAGGCGGAACUGCAAGGUGGGUGUUUAAUCGACGGGCUCAACCCGUAUCAGCAUUCAAAACUGUGGUGCUUGAGGAAUGCAGAGGUAGGCGGAAUUCCCGGUGUAGCGGUGGAAUGCGUAGAUAUCGGGAGGAACACCAGUGGCGAAGGCGGCCUACUGGGCAUCAACUGACGCUGAGGCUCGAAAGCAUGGGUAGCAAACAGGAUUAGAUACCCCUGUAGUCA